rnacentral:ncRNA from 2 species
GCCAGCGGUUGGGGGUGUCCCAAACAAGAGUUGGGACUGAGAUCAGACCCCUCGAACUUGAUCCGGACCAUGCCGGCGAAAGGAAACCAACGGCUUCAUUA